GCCGCGGCCGCGCAGCCCCCGCGCGCUGGGCUGCUGUCUGCGGGUGGCGGCGGCGGCGGCGCGGGGAGCCGGC
rnacentral:miRNA from 1 species